UACGAAGGGUGCAAGCGUUGCUCGGAAUUAUUGGGCGUAAAGGGGAGGUAGGUGGUCUCGUUUGUCUGGGGUGAAAACCCUAAGCUUAACUUAGGAAGUGCCUCGGAAACGGCGAGACUAGAGUACUGGAGAGGGUAGCGGAAUUCCCGGUGUAGCGGUGAAAUGCGUAGAGAUCGGGAGGAACACCAGAGGCGAAGGCGGCUACCUGGACAGUCACUGACACUCAGGCACGAAAGCGUGGGGAGCAAACAGG
rnacentral:rRNA from 1 species